GACGAACGCUGGCGGCGUGCCUAAUACAUGCAAGUAGAACGCAGAUGAGAAAGGGUGAUUAACGCGUAGGUAACUGCCUCCUUGCGGGGGGUAACUAAUGGAAACGAUAGAUAAACACGCAAACCGUGAGAUGGACCUGCCUUGUAUUAGCUAGUUGGUGAGGUAAAGGCGGACCAAGGCGAAGAUAAAGAGCCGACCUGAUGGGGUGAGCGGCCACACUGGUACUGAGGCACGGCCCCGACUCCUACGGGAGGGAGCAGUAGGGAAUCUUCGGCAAUGGACCGAAGUCUGACCGAGCAACGCCGCGGGAGUGAAGAAGGUUUUCGGAUCGUAAAGCUCUGUUUUUAGAGAAGCGGUACCUAACCAGAAAGGGACGGCUAACUACGGGCCAGCCGCCGCGGUAAUAC
rnacentral:rRNA from 1 species